rnacentral:rRNA from 1 species
GUGCCAGCCGCCGCGGUAAUACCGGCAGCCCGAGUGAUGGCCGAUCUUAUUGGGCCUAAAGCGUCCGUAGCUGGCCGCGCAAGUCCAUCGGGAAAUCCACCCGCCCAACGGGUGGCCGUCCGGUGGAAGCUGCACGGCUUGGGACCGGAAGGCGCGACGGGUACGUCCGGGGUAGGAGUGAAAUCCUGUAAUCCCGCUCGGACCGCCGAUGGGGAAACCACCUCAGGAGAACGGAUCCGACAGUGAGGGACGAAAGCCAGGGUCUCGAACCGGAUUAGAUACCCUUGUAGUCC